AAACUUCUUUAUCACCGAGUGCUUGCACUCACCGAUAAAGAGUUGAGUGGCGAACGGGUGAGUAACACGUGGGCAACCUGCCCAAAAGAGGGGGAUAACACUUGGAAACAGGUGCUAAUACCGCAUAACCAUAGUUACCGCAUGGUAACUAUGUAAAAGGUGGCUAUGCUACCGCUUUUGGAUGGGCCCGCGGCGCAUUAGCUAGUUGGUGGGGUAAAGGCUUACCAGGGCAAUGAUGCGUAGCCGAACUGAGAGGUUGAUCGGCCACAUUGGGACUGAGACACGGCCCAAACUCCUACGGGAGGCAGCAGUAGGGAAUCUUCCACAAUGGGCGAAAGCCUGAUGGAGCAACGCCGCGUGGGUGAAGAAGGUCUUCGGAUCGUAAAACCCUGUUGUUAGAGAAGAAAGUGCGUGAGAGUAACUGUUCACGUUUCGACGGUAUCUAACCAGAAAGCCACGGCUAACUACGUGCCAGCAGCCGCGGUAAUACGUAGGUGGCAAGCGUUAUCCGGAUUUAUUGGGCGUAAAGGGAACGCAGGCGGUCUUUUAAGUCUGAUGUGAAAGCCUUCGGCUUAACCGGAGUAGUGCAUUGGAAACUGGGAGACUUGAGUGCAGAAGAGGAGAGUGGAACUCCAUGUGUAGCGGUGAAAUGCGUAGAUAUAUGGAAGAACACCAGUGGCGAAAGCGGCUCUCUGGUCUGUAACUGACGCUGAGGUUCGAAAGCGUGGGUAGCAAACAGGAUUAG
rnacentral:rRNA from 1 species